AGUGAACGCUGGCGGUAGGCCUAACACACGCAAGUCGAACGGCAGCACAGUAAGAGCUUGCUCUUACGGGUGGCGAGUGGCGGACGGGUGAGGAAUACAUCGGAAUCUACUUUUUCGUGGGGGAUAACGUAGGGAAACUUACGCUAAUACCGCAUACGACCUACGGGUGAAAGCAGGGGAUCUUCGGACCUUGCGCGAUUGAAUGAGCCGAUGUCGGAUUAGCUAGUUGGCGGGGUAAAGGCCCACCAAGGCGACGAUCCGUAGCUGGUCUGAGAGGAUGAUCAGCCACACUGGAACUGAGACACGGUCCAGACUCCUACGGGAGGCAGCAGUGGGGAAUAUUGGACAAUGGGCGCAAGCCUGAUCCAGCCAUACCGCGUGGGUGAAGAAGGCCUUCGGGUUGUAAAGCCCUUUUGUUGGGAAAGAAAAGCAGAAGGUUAAUACCCCGCUGUUCUGACGGUACCCAAAGAAUAAGCACCGGCUAACUUCGUG
rnacentral:rRNA from 1 species